GUGGGAGUGCCCUCACUGCAAAAUCACAGCACCUGAUGUGAAAUCGAUGCAGAUUCAUCAUGAUGCUAAGCAUCCAAAGAUCCCUUUUGAAGAAGAAAAGCUUGUUAACAAACAUGCUUCUACCGCUGCUCCUGCUGAAUCCUCCAAGCCUCGCCCUGGUGUUCGUGGUAGCCUCAAAAAGUGAUCUUUAUCAUCAUCAACAUCAUCGUGUGACUUUAAUCGACCCUUCAUUCAUGGCUUUUACUAUAUGUUCUAUUUUGUAAUCUUUUUCUUUUCAAGUUGUCUUUUUUUAGAGGGUUUUUGAAUAAUUUGUCAAAU
rnacentral:lncRNA from 1 species